CCAUGGACGUUGAUUUCCAUUAAACAGUAUUUUGCGAACUUCUUGUUCUCUGCAAAUUUUGGAUGCCACCGGUCAGUGUGACGCCCAAACCUUUGAGUGGCGUGUAUGGACUUUGGAUUGUUUACACUUUACAGCCUGGUGGCAAGUCUUUUUCUAAUUGAGACAAUUAUUUAGGUGCUAAAUCAAACAACAUGUCUAUAGGAUCCUAUCUGGAAAACUAGAUGGUGUACGGAUUCAGAGAUGAACAUGACGAACGAUAGAAGGUCGAUUUGGAUUAUUCUUGGUCCAUAACUAUCAAUUAUUCCACUGCCACACAACUGUGUUUGUGCUGGCAGGGAGAGAAGGAGAAGUAAGGUGUUGUGGGCAGGGACUGGUUGUGGGUACAAGUAAGAAGGCCAGAUAUGAGAUGGGGGAAAGGAUGCAUGCAGGAGAAGAGAACAGACUGCAACGAAAGGCAGUUUGAGAUGUAGCAGUGGACGCCUCUUCCAUGAUAUUCAGCACUCUGCGUGUUCAAUGAUGCCGCACACGUCCUCUCAUCCCGUCACCAACGGCCUGGAUGUGGCAGCUGCCGUCAACAUCCCAACCGUCACCAGCACCACAUGUUGAAUGACAUUGGCAUCGUGUCACCGGGGCAGCAGCUCAACACCAGCAUUAUUCUGGUAAUGCAAGCCCCGUUCCAUCUCCUUUGUUUGCAGUCAUUGUUCCAAUAUUACUGGAGAUAAAAUCCAUUCUAGCUAUCCUUGCUGAAGAUCAUUUGGUGGUGUUUGAUCUAGACCAAAAAUUUAUUUGAUGUUGUUUUCUGUAAUUAUGAUCAGCUCAGUCGUAAGAUAUAGAGAGAUCAAUCACAUCCGAUCUUCGAUUUAAUGUAAAUUAGAUGCUUUCCUGAACCGCGGGUUGCCUGUUUCAUGAACAGUACUGCCAUUUUAAAAAUCUAGGGCCUAGACUUGAUGACAACAUUAUUAUUUAUACCGUUGUACUGGGCCAUUUGUUAGCAGCAGACAAUUAUAUGCCAAUCUUUAUAAAGUUGAGAGACUAAAUUCCAGUGACAAAAAGCCUUGUCAUACUGGCAGUUAUUUUCCAAUGAAUGUCUGCAUAUCAUCCACUUGACUUGAUGUCUGCCUAUAAUAAAGUUGGCAUGGACCUUCUGUUCAAAAUAAAGCAUGCUUGGUUUUUGGAGUUGCAUCCAUCAACUAACCUUAGAGGAAUUCAUAUAUCCACCACGCCGGUGCUUCUUUUGCACAAUCUUAUACAUUAGGACUUUAUACUCCUUCACAAAAAAACACCCUGGCAAAAUAUCCGUACGCUACUUUGCCUCAUAUCAUAAGUGUAGUUUUGGUCACGUAUGUUGGAAAUAUAUGCUUGUUCUGCGGUGAUGAAUCACAGAAUCAGAAUGGAAAAUCUGAAUGGAAGUUAUUAUUUGUUCAUGUGUUGAUAUAGUGAUUCCGUUUGAACUUGAAGGAUAAAUAUGGUGGAGCCUUUUUUUAGUAAAGUUUGUUUUCCCUUGGAAUUAUUGUUGUAAUAACUAUAUUUGUGGGUGUGCAGUUUUUGAUUGUCUAUUCAUGAUAUUUAGAUAGAUCGGAUUCGUUCCUUUAUAGCAUACAUGGACUUGAAUUAUUUUGUCAUUGAUGAAUAUGCAUAAUGUACUUUAAUUUGUUGAGAUUUCAAAUGAGGUUGUAGGAAUCAAAAUGGAACUCUCAUGUGGCUGACAUCGGUUUUAUAUUAUAUUUUUAGAUGAAAUUUCUAUAUUUACUGAUCUCAAGAUAUAUUUGAUUUCAUUUUUGUCUCUUGAGACAAGGAGCGAGAAAACUGUUGAUUUUGCGAAGAACAAUUGUCACUGUAUUGCUUUCAAGGCGGAUGUUCCGUAGACAAACAAGUAUGCAAUCAACACUCAUGAUUUCAACUGGUUUCCAAUCAUGGAAAGAAGGAACGACAUGAGCUAAAAGAUGCAGAAAAAGAGGAUUAGGCCCGCAGAUUGUUGUCAAAGAGAACAUUGAGCUAUGAGGGUGUUUUUUUGGGCAACACCGGCGAUGGUCUCAGCAGCUAAAUGAUGGUGAACUGUAGCUGUUGUAAUACUGUGAGAAAUAUAUUAUGAUUAAUUUUAACUUACCUAUCCGAUUUUUUUCAUUGCGAUGAUCUGAUAGGCCCCAUAUAGGUGUUUGGAUGAUAAUAGGUGUUUUUCUGGGUUCGGAAGGGUGUUCAUUAAAAUUAUUG